rnacentral:rRNA from 1 species
GUGGGGAAUCUUCCGCAAUGGACGAAAGUCUGACGGAGCAACGCCGCGUGAGUGAAGAAGGUUUUCGGAUCGUAAAGCUCUUUCGUUAGGGACGAACGUGCUCUUUGUGAAUAAUGAGGAGUAAUGACGGUACCUAAAUAAGAAGCCACGGCUAACUACGUGCCAGCAGCCGCGGUAAUACGUAGGUGGCAAGCGUUGUCCGGAAUUAUUGGGCGGAAAGCGCGCGCAGGCGGGAUAUCAAGUCUGUCUUAAAAGUGCGAGGCUCAACCUCGUGAGGGGACAGAAACUGGUAUUCUUGAGUGUCGGAGAGGAAAGUGGAAUUCCAAGUGUAGCGGUGAAAUGCGUAGAGAUUUGGAAGAACACCAGUGGCGAAGGCGACUUUCUGGACGAUGUCUGACGCUGAGGCGCGAAAGCUAGGGGAGCGAACGGGAUUAGAAACCCCUGUAGUCC